rnacentral:rRNA from 1 species
GACGAACGCUGGCGGCGUGCCUAAUACAUGCAAGUCGAGCGCAGGAAACUGACGGAACUCUUCGGAGGGAAGGCAGUGGAAUGAGCGGCGGACGGGUGAGUAACACGUAAGGAACCUGCCUCAAGGAUUGGGAUAACUCCGAGAAAUCGGAGCUAAUACCGGAUAGUUCAUCGGACCGCAUGGUCCGCUGAUGAAAGGCGCUUCGGCGUCACCUUGAGAUGGCCUUGCGGUGCAUUAGCUAGUUGGUGGGGUAACGGCCCACCAAGGCGACGAUGGAUAGCCGACCUGAGGGGGUGAUCGGCCACACUGGGACUGAGACACGGCCCAGACUCCGACGGGAGGCAGCAGUAGGGAAUCUUCCACAAUGGACGAAAGUCUGAUGGAGCAACGCGGCGUGAGUGAUGAAGGUUUUCGGAUCGUAAAACUCUGUUGUAAGGGAAGAACACGUACGAGAGGUAAUGCUCGUACCUUGACGGUACCUUACGAGAAAGCCACGGCUAACUACGUGCCAGCCGCCGCCGUAACAC